AGUAAGAAGACUAAGUUGUCAAAGGAAAAAAAGAAACCUGAUUUAAAGCAACAGACUCUUCAUCAGCUGCCGAACGUGAGUUUUCUGCGUCUGGAUGGCAUACACUGGGGAGAAAGAAUCGCACAACAGGAGUCACUUUGGCAGCAAAAGUGUUCCUUACUUGUAACAAAGACCUAUUAAGGCCCCUUUUUUUAAAGUCUUGUUUACUUUCCUCCUUGUUUUUCGCAGUUUCUUUUUUCUCAUUAGAACAGCGAAAUAUCCAAAUGAGAAAAUGCCUAAUUAUUUAAUGGAUCUACCUGAUAACCGUAAUAAAACUAAUCAAGACCGUGA